CAGUCAGAUGUCAGCAGAGGCCGUGCUCACUUAAAGCUUAAUUGGGUUUGGAGCUUUUGCUUCCAAUGUGCCUCAUUUACAUGGCUGCCAGGUGGGUUCCUUCUCCACAAUUACCCGUGAGUGUCUACACAGCAUAGCGCUGACCUCCCCCAGAGUCAGUGCUACCCUCGAGACCCAGGGGAAUAGCUGCAAUGCCUUUUGUGACCUAGCCUCAGAUGUCACACACAGUCACUUCCACGAUGUUCUAUCGGACAUGCAGACUAAUCCUGAUUCAUGGAAGGGGACUACACAAGGGGAUGAAUUCCAGGAGACUCUCCAACACCUGGCACUGAAAGUUUCACUAGAGGCAAGUGCAUCUGUAUCCUGACAAUAGAUGAAAUCAAUCAAAUCAGAUGGGAGAAGCCUCCAGCUCUCCAAUCCAUCCUCCACACUGCUGCCAAAAAGUUGUUCCUAAAAACUAAUUGGACACGUCACUCUGCUGAAAAAUCUCUAAUGGCCCUCCAGAGCUGAGCUGGAUAUUCUCUGCUUGUUUCCGGAUUCACGCCAUCCAUUUUCUCCCCCAGGGCCGACCGCCACGGACUGCCUCACCCCAACACUUUUGCUUCGACUUCCAUUUGGGUAUGGACAGUGAGAGGCACUGGAAAAGGUCAGAGGGCUGGAAGAGAGAGAAGUCUGGGGGCACUCGUCCUUGGCUGUUUCUCCGCCGGGCAAAUCCAGCUUCACAGAUGUUUGACCUGUACAGAUGCACAGGGCCCUGUGCUCGGAAGGGCACCAGGCUUGCUUCAAUGCCCUGCUGGCAUCAUCUUGGAGUUCUCAGCAGUGUCUGAACAAGUGGCCCUUUUGUUUCAUGUUGCACCGGGCCUGGCAAAUUAUAUCACCAGUUCCACUUUCGGGCUUUGUGUUGUGGUGGCGAUGUCUCUCUACCAAAAGCACAGCUCUUGUCUGAGACCCCUUUCCUACGACUACAGCUGCAGGGUUCCAGUACCUGUUUCUCCACUUGCCUCAGCAGUGCUAGAAGUGAUGGUAGCUUCCUGCAGUUGCUGGCCCUGGGGUGCUUCGCCAGCCCACAUUAGUCUUCUUCGGCCCCGCCCACCUCUUAUAGAGUCCCUUCAUUGAACUCACGUCACCUUUUCAAGAGUGCUGUCUGUUUCUUCUCAGGACCCUCGCUAAUAAAGAGUCUAUAGGAUUGUA